UGGAGGGGGUUUCAUCAGAAACGAGGGGGGAGAUUGGGAAAAGGGAAGAAUAACUAUGAUGAUUCUUCCUUUGGUUGAUCCUUCUAAAAUAUGCCCCCUGUAGCCUUCCUCUAGGAAUGAACCAUCCAAUCUGAUGAUUUUUUUUCUCUCUGCUGUCUUUUCUUUUCCUUUCUCUCUCUCUCUCGACUGAAACCAAACCACUACCUUUCACUCUCAACUCAAUUAAUUACACCCACAACCCCCCAUCUCAUUUAUUGCGAGUCGCUCGUCACGCUUAAAUAGAACCCAUCUGCCCUUUCAACCUAAUCCUCCUCCUCCUCCUCCUCCUUCAUAAGCCUGGUCCGUAUAUAUGUAUGUUAUCACUGUCCAUCUCUUUCCCCAGCUGAGCUCCAACAUAAGGGAGGGAGAAGGGUCGUGAAUAAUGCAAACAACAGUGCACAGGCUUUGAUGAGAUCAUGUGGGUUUAGCAAAGCGUUUCUUACAGAGUUUAUUGGCAUUCUGUCCACCUCCUCUCUUUGUUCACUCUGUGUGUAUUAGAAGAUAGUACGUGUGGAGGUGGGCAUACUGCCAACUGAGCUCUGUUGGCUUCUCUUUGUAAAACCCUCGUGACUGACGAUGAUAUCUCCCAGCGCUACAUACACUUGCUGAUUGUUAAAAUCUUGUGUUGUAAUUAAUUGUCUGUUAAUAAGGAGGAGGAUGAGCUUUCCUGAGCAACACAAAGCAUCAUUAAUUAUCUCCAUCCGUAACUCUUUAAAUUUCUUCUGUUUGAUCAUCUUCAUCUAGACGAGAUGGUUUUUAAUUAAUUAGUACUGCGACUGCUGAUUAUUGGGAUGUAGGGGAGCCCUAGAUUGGGUUUGUGAUUUGCUUAUAGAUCCGUUCUUCCUAAAUCCUUUAUUUUUAUUUUUGAUGUAGUUAGGGUUGUUCUGAUUUUAUCAUCUAUAGCUUUUCAUUGUUUCCUUUGAAUAUAAUCAAUCUUGGGUGCCCAAGUUCUAAGUCUUGUAUCAUAAAGAUUGUGCACACAGGAAGAAGCUAGCAAAGAAGAGCUGCUCUAAACACAUCAUUUGAUUUAAGGUGGGUCAAAUACUCAAAAAGGGAAUUAGAAUGGUUAGACGCAGAGCUGACUAAAAUGAUGGCUAACUCCAUCUCCAUUUUCAAGUUUGAACAUCCUUCUCUUCUCUUCUGCAACAUUAAUCUUAUCCCUUGAUUCUCUUCAUUUGUUGUGUAAAAAUGCUGAUUAUGAGAGUUAAUCUUAUCCAUUACAGUGAUCAUGGCAUGCAUGCCGCCUCCUCCUCCACUCCACACCAUUGUGUUUGUUUAAUGUCAGUAAUUUAAGUUUUAAUUAUGGUUUGGUGGGCCAAACGUCUUUUAAUUAUGCGAUGAGAGGAGCAGGCCAGUCAGCCCUACCAGUGUCCUGUCCAGCAUCACUUGAGAGAAGAGAAGGGAUACGUUUCUUCUACGCUCUCUCCAUUCUCCUCCUUGAUCUUGUAGCCAUUUACGUAGCCACGUAGGAUUAUGAUCGAAUGACUGACGACAUUAAUGCCAAUAAAUAUAUACAAUAUAUGCACAAGCAUUACCCACCCACACCCUUACCCUUAUGUGGCGCGUAAAAGGACCACCUCUCUAAUUAAUUUUGAUUGUUGAAUUUACAUUACAGGAUGCAGAA